AGCGAACGCUGGCGGCAGGCCUAACACAUGCAAGUCGAACGAACCUUUCGGGGUUAGUGGCGGACGGGUGAGUAACACGUGGGAACGUGCCUUUAGGUUCGGAAUAACUCAGGGAAACUUGUGCUAAUACCGAAUGUGCCCUUCGGGGGAAAGAUUAAUCGCCUUUAGAGCGGCCCGCGUCUGAUUAGCUAGUUGGUUGAGGUAAUGGCUCACCAAGGCGACGAUCAGUAGCUGGUCUGAGAGGAUGAUCAGCCACAUUGGGACUGAGACACGGCCCAAACUCCUACGGGAAGCAGCAGUGGGGAAUCUUGCGCAAUGGGCGAAAGCCUGACGCAGCCAUGCCGCGUGAAUGAUGAAGGUCUUAGGAUUGUAAAAUUCUUUCACCGGGGACGAUAAUGACGGUACCCGGAGAAGAAGCACCGGCUAACUUCGUG
rnacentral:rRNA from 1 species